rnacentral:rRNA from 1 species
UACGUAGGGUGCAAGCGUUAAUCGGAAUUACUGGGCGUAAAGCGUGCGCAGGCGGCUUUGCAAGACAGAUGUGAAAUCCCCGGGCUCAACCUGGGAACUGCAUUUGUGACUGCAUGGCUGGAGUGCGGCAGAGGGGGAUGGAAUUCCGCGUGUAGCAGUGAAAUGCGUAGAUAUGCGGAGGAACACCGAUGGCGAAGGCAAUCCCCUGGGCCUGCACUGACGCUCAUGCACGAAAGCGUGGGAGCAACAGG